AUUGAACGCUGGCGGCAUGCUUUACACAUGCAAGUCGAACGGUAACAGGCCGCAAGGUGCUGACGAGUGGCGAACGGGUGAGUAAUGCAUCGGAACGUGCCCAGUCGUGGGGGAUAACGCAGCGAAAGCUGCGCUAAUACCGCAUACGAUCUAUGGAUGAAAGCGGGGGACCGUAAGGCCUCGCGCGAUUGGAGCGGCCGAUGUCAGAUUAGGUAGUUGGUGGGGUAAAGGCUCACCAAGCCAACGAUCUGUAGCUGGUCUGAGAGGACGACCAGCCACACUGGGACUGAGACACGGCCCAGACUCCUACGGGAGGCAGCAGUGGGGAAUUUUGGACAAUGGGCGCAAGCCUGAUCCAGCAAUGCCGCGUGCAGGAAGAAGGCCUUCGGGUUGUAAACUGCUUUUGUACGGAACGAAAAGGCUCUGGUUAAUACCUGGGGCUCAUGGCGGUACCGUAAGAAUAAGCACCGGCUAACUACGUGCCAGCCGCCGCAGUAAGAC
rnacentral:rRNA from 1 species